GCGCACCAGGCGCGAAUACUUUACAAUGUGCGAAAGCACGAUAAGGGAACUCUGAGUGCCUCCUAAGGAGGCUGUUCAGGUGUCUAAAAAGCACCUGGAGUAAGGGCUGGGUAAGACCGGUGCCAGCCGCCGCGGUAACACCGGCAGCCCAGGUGGUAGCCACUUUUAUUGGGUCUAAAGCGUCCGUAGCCGGUUGAGUAAGUUCCUUGGGAAAUUUGGCUGCUCAACAGUCAAGCUUCCAGGGAAUACUGCUCGACUUGGGACUGGGAGAGGGUCAGAGGUACUCCAGGGGUAGGGGUGAAAUCCAUUAAUCCCUGGGGGACCACCGGUAGCGAAGGCGUCUGACCAGACCAGGUCCGACGGUGAGGGACGAAGGCUAGGGGCGCGAACCGGAUUA
rnacentral:rRNA from 1 species